rnacentral:rRNA from 1 species
CAGUCGCCGCGGGAAUACGAAGGGGGCUAGCGUUGUUCGGAUUUACUGGGCGUAAAGCGCACGUAGGCGGACUUUUAAGUCAGGGGUGAAAUCCCGGGGCUCAACCCCGGAACUGCCUUUGAUACUGGGAGUCUUGAGUUCGAGAGAGGUGAGUGGAAUUGCGAGUGUAGAGGUGAAAUUCGUAGAUAUUCGCAGGAACACCAGUGGCGAAGGCGGCUCACUGGCUCGAUACUGACGCUGAGGUGCGAAAGCGUGGGGAGCAAACAGGAUUAGAUACCCGCGUAGUCCCUGUCUCUUAUAA